rnacentral:rRNA from 1 species
UACAGAGGGUGCUAGCGUUGUUCGGAAUCAUUGGGCGUAAAGGGCGUGUAGGUGGUUCUGUAUGUCUACCGUGAAAGCGUACGGCUCAACCGUAUUUAGUCGGUAGAAACUGCAGGACUUGAGGCUGGGAGGGGCUGGUGGAAUUCCCCGUGUAGCGGUGAAAUGCGUAGAGAUGGGGGAGAACACUCGUGGCGAAGGCGGCCAGCUAGACCAGUUCUGACACUGAGGCGCGACAGCGUGGGGAGCAAACAGG